CGGCCAUUAAACACCAGUUCUCGUAUGAUCACCAAAGUUAAGCAACGUCGAGCCUAAUCAGUACCUACAUGGGUGAUGAUUUGGUAUAACAGGUGCUGUAAG